CUUGAAUUCAGAUAAAAGUGAUAUAUUUAUAUAUCAAUUAGCCAUGUGAUUAAUUUUCUGAGGUAACGAUUGAUUGAUUGUUUCUUGUUUAACGUUCAGUGGCAAAUAUUUCAUGUAUAUGCACAUGAAAAAGCAAAAGUUAGUGAGGGAAGGGCAAAUAUUCGUUCUACAAACUGCUUCUUCUUUCUUUUGUCAUUAAUUGGCAAAAUCAAGCAUAAUAGAAAAAAGAGAAAAAGAAACACCGUCCGACCAUAUAUAUAAUAGCUAUUACAUCUAUGGUCCGACAUACCAUCAAAAGGAACCAUGAGAACCUCGCCACGACGGUUGAGUAUCAUAAAACUUUCAGGUCAGACCGGGUACAUUGAAAUAUAGGACAUUUUGACGACAGAUAAUUCAAAGAUGUUAAAUGAAAAUAUACUAGUAAAUCGACUAGUCUAAUUUUUUUCAUUAUAAUUCCAUUCCAGGCG
rnacentral:lncRNA from 1 species